rnacentral:rRNA from 1 species
GACGAACGCUGGCGGCGUGCUUAACACAUGCAAGUCGAACGGAAAGGCCCUGCUUGCAGGGUACUCGAGUGGCGAACGGGUGAGUAACACGUGGGUGAUCUGCCCUGCACUUCGGGAUAAGCCUGGGAAACUGGGUCUAAUACCGGAUAGGAGCCAUUUUUAGUGUGAUGGUUGGAAAGUUUUUUCGGUGUAGGAUGAGCUCGCGGCCUAUCAGCUUGCUGGUGGGGUAAUGGCCUACCAAGGCGGCGACGGGUAGCCGGCCUGAGAGGGUGGACGGCCACAUUGGGACUGAGAUACGGCCCAGACUCCUACGGGAGGCAGCAGUGGGGAAUAUUGCACAAUGGGCGCAAGCCUGAUGCAGCGACGCCGCGGGGGGGAUGACGGCCUUCGGGUUGUAAACUCCUUUCGCUAGGGACGAAGCUUUUUGUGACGGUACCUAGAGAAGAAGCACCGGCUAACUACGUG